CUCCGUUACUUACAAUGAGUCUGGACUGAGAACAAGACGAAAGAUGAGGAAGCUGAGGCCUGGUGCUCCUAAAGGGCUUGGUCAAGAGGCGGAGGUGGAGGUGGUGGAAGGCUGUUCCCCUGCGGAAGCCCUUUGGUGGCACGCGAGACCUGGCUCCGUGGCCACUGGACAGAUCUCCU
rnacentral:lncRNA from 1 species